CCGCUCACUUAAGCAGCACAUGUACUAACACUGGAACAAUACAGAAAAGAUCAGCAUGGACUCCGCUCAAGGAUGAAAGAGAAUUUCAGGAAACAUUCCAUAAGAAA
ensembl:snRNA U6 U6 spliceosomal RNA